rnacentral:rRNA from 1 species
GACGAACGCUGGCGGCGUGCCUAAUACAUGCAAGUUGAGCGCUGAAGGUUGGUACUUGUACCGACUGGAUGAGCAGCGAACGGGUGAGUAACGCGUGGGGAAUCUGCCUUUGAGCGGGGGACAACAUUUGGAAACGAAUGCUAAUACCGCAUAAAAACUUUAAACACAAGUUUUAAGUUUGAAAGAUGCAAUUGCAUCACUCAAAGAUGAUCCCGCGUUGUAUUAGCUAGUUGGUGAGGUAAAGGCUCACCAAGGCGAUGAUACAUAGCCGACCUGAGAGGGUGAUCGGCCACAUUGGGACUGAGACACGGCCCAAACUCCUACGGGAGGCAGCAGUAGGGAAUCUUCGGCAAUGGACGAAAGUCUGACCGAGCAACGCCGCGGGAGUGAAGAAGGGUGUCGGAUCGUAAAACUCGGUUGGUAGAGAAGAACGUUGGUGAGAGUGGAAAGCUCAUCAAGUGACGGUAACUACCCAGAAAGGGACGGCUAACUACGUG